GUGCCCAGUGAUUAUAAAAAGACGCGUUAUUCUGAGGACCACAACCCGCCGCCAGUCUUUCCUUCUACCUUGUGUUCUUGUCUUUGAUCUCCAUCUGUCUCAUCUCCUCUUCUUCAAACUGGUAGCUGGUCCACUGACUGCGAUUAUGAGAUAUGAGGGCGU
ensembl:snoRNA SNORD97 small nucleolar RNA, C/D box 97